UGGGGAACUUCCGAACCGUUACAAAUGGCAUGGAUAAACCUCCGUGUAAUUUGACUUGCUUCACAGGGGAUGGGAAUUUGAGAGGAAGAGGGUCUAACUAGCUCAUGUUUCAUGGGUUUAGUGGUUAGUAAUCAUUUUGGAGAGUUAAUUAUUGAGAGAGAAAGGAUAACACAGGUAAUAUAUCAGCAGAGCAAGGAGUAGUCAGAAUUAGGUUGUUACAUGUAGUAGGUUUCUAUGCGGUAAUUUUCCUGAUUCUCUUUUGUUUAUGCUUCUCUUCUCAAAUUUGACACUGCAAGUGAUAAUACAUAUGAGAUGUGCUUUUAAUGAUCAUCUGAGGACUGUGUUUGAUGAUUUGCAAUAUUUUGCAG
rnacentral:misc_RNA from 1 species